AACAACACAUAAAUAUGAAAUGAAGAGAUUGAUAUGUGUUGUUUUUUUGUUGACGGGAUGAGACUGAUAAGGUUAUACAUUGAAUAGGAAUCAAAGCAAGAUAAUAAAUCAAAUGUUGCAAUAUAACAAGAGCCCAAUAGAUAGUUUGGGAGUGAAACUAAUUAGUUGGAAGCGAGAGCUGGCUUGACCACAAGCUGAUCAAGCUUAGGCGUAAGGCCUUGCUAGUACGUUUAUCAAUUUGUCGGCGGCCAAGUUUAGAAUAUUGCCGUUAGACCAAUUGGUCAAACUUGUGUUUAGGGCUGGGACUUGAUGUGCUCUAUUUUUAUUUUCUCUUAUACCAUGGACCUCAAAGUGAUCAGAUCAAACCUGGUGACCUAAGCAGAUGCGGAGAACUUUCUUCGCAUAGUUUAAGGAUCCACUC
rnacentral:lncRNA from 1 species